AGUGAACGCUGGCGGUAGGCCUAACACAUGCAAGUCGAACGGCAGCACAGUAAGAGCUUGCUCUUACGGGUGGCGAGUGGCGGACGGGUGAGGAAUACAUCGGAAGCUACUUUUUCGUGGGGGAUAACGUAGGGAAACUUACGCUAAUACCGCAUACGACCUACGUGUGAAAGCAGGGGAUCUUCGGACCUUGCGCGAUUGAAUGAGCCGAUGUCGGAUUAGCUAGUUGGCGGGGUAAAGGCCCACCAAGGCGACGAUCCGUAGCUGGUCUGAGAGGAUGAUCAGCCACACUGGAACUGAGACACGGUCCAGACUCCUACGGGAGGCAGCAGUGGGGAAUAUUGGACAAUGGGCGAAAGCCUGAUCCAGCCAUACCGCGUGGGUGAAGAAGGCCUUCGGGUCGUAAAGCCCUUUUGUUGGGAAAGAAAAGCAGCAGGUUAAUACCCCGCUGUUCUGACGGUACCCAAAGAAUAAGCACCGGCUAACUUCGUG
rnacentral:rRNA from 1 species